UUCCCAUGGCUGAAUCCUUUGUCUCGCCACUGAGGGCUGCAGGUACGAGCAUGCUUGACUGAUUUCUUGUAGUAACCAGGAUACAUAUUCCACCAAAUCACCCUUUAUGGUUUGCCUAUUGUUUUGAUAUGUUCUACAUCAUGAUCAAACAAUUAACAAUGCCUAAUAAGCAGAAUGCAAUCCUAAGAAUAUGCCUUAAAAAAUUAGACCAGGUACAAAAAACUACAAAUAGCACAUGCACAAUCUUUUUAUGUAUAUUAGAAAAAUGUUCAUGUCAUAUAUCUGCAUGGUGAAAUAUUAAGCAAUUGUUAACUCAAAAUUAGCAUCGUAAAGUAUAUGCAGUUAUGGGGAGGUGUUGAAUACCUUAGAUGCAUUGAGAAUUACAUCAAUCAAACUUUUGGCACAUAAAUCUAGUGGUUGGAGGUGCAUUUAGCCAUGCUUCUCAUCAAGAUCUGAUCACUUGAAUCCGAAGCAAGAUGAGCACUUUGUAUAGUUAAUCAAAAAGCUGAAUACGCAAAAUGUAUCGAGAAUUAAUUGGUGUACUGCAUAAAUCAAACUUUUGACCCAAAAAAUAAAACCAUAUAACUUUGUAUUAAUCUUCAGUUUCUAAAAAAUGAACACACUCCAUGUAUGCAUUACUCUACCAAGGAUGCACAUACAAUCUGCAUUUCGGCAGCAUGUUGGGAACUAAAAAGUGACGAAUUGGAGAUGUAUGAAACAAAAAUAUGGCAAAUACCACGGGAAACAAUUGAUAUAUUCCUCACAUCUCUGAUCAAGCCAUUGUAGCCAAAAAAACAUGCAGGUCGGAAACACAAAAAAUAGAUCUUGCAUGUUUGUCAACAAACGCCUAUCAAAAUUCCAAGAUCACAUAUAUGACAUAUCUACCAGACCCUGAAUCAAAGUAAAUUUCCUUCCUUAUUACAUUAGCUAUUACCCAAUGGUGCAGUGGACAGUUAUGAACCACAAGCACAUUGCAUACCAAACAAGUAAGCCAAACCGUGGACAAUAAGCGCAUAAAUCCAUUUUUACAUAAUAAACGUUACAUCUUAUCAUUUUCUAUUUGCAAACAAAUAUGUUGUUAUUAGUUAGUCAGUUUGUACUUGUCUAAAAAUUAACGAAACAUGUUAAUAUGCAGCAGAAAAUGAUAUUUUUUAACAAGGCCUCCUGGAAACGUGUGCUAUAUAACCUUUGUGUCUGCGUGGAGCAUACCUCAGUUCAGUCCUACAGCCCUUUGAUGUAGUCUACAACAAUAUCCAGCAUAUCUGAAGUAUUUGUUUGCUGCGUCUUCAAGAAGAAACUUAACAUGUUUCCAGCAAUUGUAUUGAACGACUUCUCCGAGAGAAUAGCUGCGCAAAUGCUAUUAUGAAAUCUGAAGUAACUAAGGUCCGAGUCAUCAACAACUACCAAGGUUCUGAAUUUCCAUGGGCAACACUUCCAGUUUGGAUUAGAAUCAUCAGUUUUAGUACGUUAGAAUUUAGUUUUGUAUCGCUGAAAGUCAUCAGUUUUGGUACUUUAGAGGGUACAAGCUUCUGUAACUCAUGGUGAAAAAUUCAUCUCUAUAUAUUGACAUGAUUGAUAAAAAGGGCAAC
rnacentral:lncRNA from 1 species